CCAACAGGGAUUGCCUUAGUAGCGGCGAGUGAAGCGGCAAAAGCUCAAAUUUGAAAUCUGGCACUUUCAGUGUCCGAGUUGUAAUUUGAAGAAGGUAUCUUUGGGUCUGGCUCUUGUCUAUGUUUCUUGGAACAGAACGUCACAGAGGGUGAGAAUCCCGUGCGAUGAGAUGACCCAGACCUAUGUAAAGUUCCUUCGAAGAGUCGAGUUGUUUGGGAAUGCAGCUCUAAGUGGGUGGUAAAUUCCAUCUAAAGCUAAAUAUUGGCGAGAGACCGAUAGCGAACAAGUACAGUGAUGGAAAGAUGAAAAGAACUUUGAAAAGAGAGUGAAAAAGUACGUGAAAUUGUUGAAAGGGAAGGGCUUGAGAUCAGACUUGGUAUUUUGUAUGUUACUCUUUCGGGGGUGGCCUCUACAGUUUACCGGGCCAGCAUCAGUUUGGGCGGUAGGAGAAUUGCAAAGAAAUGUGGCACUGCUUCGGUAGUGUGUUAUAGUCUUUGUCGAUACUGCCAGCCUAGACUGAGGACUGCGG
rnacentral:rRNA from 1 species